rnacentral:rRNA from 1 species
GAUGAACGCUGGCGGCGUGCUUAACACAUGCAAGUCGAGCGAGUGAGUUCUUCGGAACGAUCUAGCGGCGGACGGGUGAGUAACACGUGGGUAACCUGCCUCAUAGGGGGGAAUAGCCUCCCGAAAGGGAGAUUAAUACCGCAUAAAAUUAUCGAGUGGCAUCACAUGAUAAUCAAAGGAGUAAUCCGCUAUGAGAUGGGCCCGCGGCGCAUUAGCUAGUUGGUGAGGUAACGGCUCACCAAGGCGACGAUGCGUAGCCGACCUGAGAGGGUGAUCGGCCACAUUUGGGCUGAGACACGGCCCAGACUCCUACGGGAGGCAGCAGUGGGGAAUAUUGCACAAUGGGGGAAACCCUGAUGCAGCAACGCCGCGUGAGUGAUGAAGGUCUUCGGAUUGUAAAGCUCUGUCUUUGGGGACGAUAAUGACGGCACCCAAGGAGGAAGCCACGGCUAACUACGUGCCAGCCGCCGCUGUAA